rnacentral:rRNA from 1 species
UUCCAGACUCCUACGGGAGGCAGCAGUGGGGAAUAUUGGACAAUGGGGGGAACCCUGAUCCAGCGACGCCGCGUGAGUGAAGAAGUAUUUCGGUAUGUAAAGCUCUCUCAGCAGGGAAGAAAGAAAUGACGGUACCUGACUAAGAAGCCCCGGCUAACUACGUGCCAGCAGCCGCGGUAAUACGUAGGGGGCAAGCGUUAUCCGGAUUUACUGGGUGUAAAGGGAGCGUAGACGGCAGUGCAAGCCUGAAGUGAAAGGCGGGGGCCCAACCCCCGGACUGCUUUGGAAACUGUGCUGCUGGAGUGCAGGAGAGGCAAGUGGAAUUCCUAGUGUAGCGGUGAAAUGCGUAGAUAUUAGGAGGAACACCAGUGGCGAAGGCGGCUUGCUGGACUGUAACUGACGUUGAGGCUCGAAAGCGUGGGGAGCAAACAGGAUUAGAUACCCGCGUA